ensembl:misc_RNA Metazoa_SRP Metazoan signal recognition particle RNA
GCUGGGCGUGGUGGCACGUGCCUGUAAUCCCAGAUACUCAGGAGGCUGAGGCAGGAGAAUCGCUUGAGCCCAGGAGGCGGGGGUUGCAGUGAGCCGAGAUUGUGCCACUGCACUCCAGCCUGGGCAAUAGAGCGAGACUCCAUCUCAG